AUCUAAACAACUUUUCAAAACAUUUAUAUUUAUAUCUUAGUAUAGGUGAUAGAACAGAUUUAUUCUUAGGCACAAUAGAGAGAGUACCGUGAGGGAACGUUGAAAGAUCGAAUCCUGUAAGCAAUAAAAAGCAAAGAUUAAACCUUCUACCUUUUGCAUAAUGAUUUAGCCAGUCUACCCGGACAAAAAGAAUUGAAGCCCGUCUUCCCGAAAUUAAGUGAGCUAUUGUAGAACAGUUGUUAGAACGAACUCGUCUAUGUAGCAAAAUAGUGAGAUGAUUUUACAAUAGAGGUGAAAAGCCUAUCGAACUUAAUGAUAGCUGGUUGUCCAAAAAGCGAAUUUUAGUUCAACUUUAAAUUUAACCCAAGUACUAAUAAACCAAAUUUAAGUUUAAAUGUUACUCAAAAGGGGGACAACUCUUUUGAUAUGUGAACAAACUUGCUUAGUGGGUAAUGAUAUAUAUAUAACACAUUGUAGGCCUAAAAGCAGCCACCAAUUAAGAAAGCGUUAAAGCUCAAACUAGUCUGUUAUUUAAUACCAAUAAUUCAUCAAAACCCCUAAUCCAAUAUUGGACAAUUCUAUUAAUAUUUAGAAGAUAUAAUGCUAAUAUGAGUAACAUGAAUUUAUUCUCCUUGCAUAAGCAUAAAUACGAUCGGAACAACCGCUUACACUUAUACGACCAAAUAAUUAUACCUAUAUACAAGCAUCCUAUUACCCUUAUUGUUAACCCAACCCAGGCAUGCAUAAAAGGAAAGAUUAAAAGGAAUAAAAGGAACUCGGCAAACAAAACCCCGCCUGUUUACCAAAAACAUCACCUCUAGCAUUUACCAGUAUUAGAGGCACUGCCUGCCCGGUGAGUUAUGACUUUAACGGCCGCGGUAUCCUGACCGUGCAAAGGUAGCAUAAUCACUUGUCUCUUAAUUGGAGACUAGUAUGAAUGGCAUGACGAGGGUUU
rnacentral:rRNA from 1 species